CUCUUGAGUCUGACCCUUCUUCAUCAUCAACGAGCAGUGAAAGUGAAACAUAUGAGGAGGGAGAUGAUGUUAAAAAUGACUUUAUCCAGUUAACCAAAAGGUUAGUCUCUCUCAACAACAUAAACCUGCUAAAAGAAAGAAAAAGUUUAAAGAAAUGGUCAACGAAUUUGCAGUCACGCUCUAUUAAAUGCCGAGGAAGAAGAAGAAGAAACCUUGCUUCUAGGCAACAACAAUGGAAAUACAGCGGAAACCGAAGCCAAGACAGAGUGCAAAGAUCUAGCUCUAUUUGACACAGCAACAAGCAAGUCGGAGCAGGACAUUAUUGAACUUCUCAGCCUAACUUUGUCAACAACAGCUCUGCCGUCUUCACAAACGCAGGCUCCACCAAACACAAGGUUUUUGGCUGAUGAUCAUAUUCUUACGAACAGCUACGUAGUCCCAUGGGCACAAUCUCAGGCAGAAGCUCAAGUCCCCAAAAUGGCACAGUUUGUUCCAUUGGGACCUCAGUUUCAGCAGCAGCAUCAGCAGCAAUUUUCAUAUGGUUAUCCUCAGGCACAAUGGAACGGUGUUCAAGCCAACAAUUAUAAUGACACAACACUGUGGGGGCAAGGAGUUAGUGAGAAUAAGGUAUUUGAGAGAAACUUGCAAUACUCAAACUCUUUUCCAGCUAGAGGAGGGGCGGGGGGACCAUCAGGUGCAGAGGUGGAGGGGCAGGCUCAGCAGCAGCCCCAGAGGCAGUAUGUUCCUCCGUACAAAUUGUUUGAAGAUCUGAAUGUUUUCUGGAAGGGAGAUGGAGGCGUUAGGAGUAGCAAAUGAGAUUUUGUUGGGAUCCCAAAAGAUUUUAAUAAACUGAAUAACAAUGAACUUUUUGUCUUAAUUUGCUGCGAACAAAUAAAAGAGAUCCUACUUUGAAUUCCUUACUGAAAUUAAUUGUGUUUCCUUGACUUACAAAUCUGACGAUACAUACAAUAUAUUACAAAGAGUUUGUUUAUUAGUUUGACAAUGCUAUCAUGUCCAAGAAUACAGGAGAGUGGUUUGGCAUAUUCUUUUAAUCUCCCUCGGUCUAAUCGUUUGAAGUUCAAUAGAUAGGCUGUGUUUGAACUGUUGAACAAUGUUGUCUCCGAUUGUUGUCUCCGUUUCUCUAGAGAAAAUCGAUUUUAUAGUGGUUAGUCCAUUAAUUCCGUUUCUCUAGAGAAAAGCGAUUUUAUAGUGGUUAGUCCAUCAAUUUAGAGAGUACUAGUAAUUCAUUGUUCUAAAAUGCUUUGAUUUUUAUCAUAAUUUCACGACGCUAUCGCCUCUGGUGUCUCUCUUCCUAUGUUGCAGGCUGCCCCAGAAACAAGUGACUCGACAAGCUCUGUCCUAAUCAAGACUAGUGAUGCUGAUGCUGCUGCUCUUGAGUCUGACCCUUCUUCAUCAUCAACGAGCAGUGAAAGUGAAACAUAUGAGGAGGGAGAUGAUGUUAAAAAUGACUUUAUCCAGUUAACCAAAAGGUUAGUCUCUCUCAACAACAUAAACCUGCUAAAAGAAAGAAAAAGUUUAAAGAAAUGGUCAACGAAUUUGCAGUCACGCUCUAUUAAAUGCCGAGGAAGAAGAAGAAGAAACCUUGCUUCUAGGCAACAACAAUGGAAAUACAGCGGAAACCGAAGCCAAGACAGAGUGCAAAGAUCUAGCUCUAUUUGACACAGCAACAAGCAAGUCGGAGCAGGACAUUAUUGAACUUCUCAGCCUAACUUUGUCAACAACAGCUCUGC
rnacentral:lncRNA from 1 species